UACGUAGGGGGCGAGCGUUGUCCGGAAUUAUUGGGCGUAAAGAGCUCGUAGGCGGUUUGUCGCGUCGAAUGUGAAAACCCGGGGCUCAACCCCGGGCCUGCAUUCGAUACGGGCAGACUAGAGUUCGGUAGGGGAGUCUGGAAUUCCUGGUGUAGCGGUGAAAUGCGUAGAUAUCCGGAGGAACACCGGUGGCGAAGGCGGCUUCCUGGACCGACACUGACGCUGAGGCGCGAAAGCUAGGGGAGCAAACGGG
rnacentral:rRNA from 1 species